AGGGUAUAGCUCAGUGGUAGAGCACAUGCUUAGCAUUCACAAGGUCCUGGGUUCAAUCCCCAGUACCUCUA
rnacentral:tRNA from 1 species